rnacentral:rRNA from 1 species
GACAGAGGUGGCGACCGUUGUUCGGAAUCACUGGGCAUAAAGCGCGUGUAGGCGGCAUUGUAAGUCGGGUGUGAAAUCCCUCGGCCCAACCGAGGAAUUGCGCUCGAAACUACUUUGCUUGAGGAUCAGAGGGGAGCCUGGAAUUCCUGGUGGAGCGGUGAAAUGCGUUGAUAUCAGGAGGAACACCGGCGGCGAAGGCGAGGCUCUGGCUGAUUACUGACGCUGAGACGCGAAAGCUAGGGGAGCAAACGGG